rnacentral:rRNA from 1 species
UACAGAGGUCUCAAGCGUUGUUCGGAUUCAUUGGGCGUAAAGGGUGCGUAGGCGGCGCGGUAAGUCGGGUGUGAAAUCUCGGAGCUUAACUCCGAAACUGCAUUCGAUACUGCCGUGCUUGAGGACUGGAGAGGAGACUGGAAUUUACGGUGUAGCGGUGAAAUGCGUAGAUAUCGUAAGGAAGACCAGUGGCGAAGGCGGCAUCCUGGACCGACAUUGACGCUGAGGCGCGAAAGCCAGGGGAGCAAACGGG